UGGCGGCGUGGAUUAGGCAUGCAAGUCGAGCGAGAACUUAAGAGAUUGAUGCUUCGGUUGAGAUCUCUUUUGGGACAGCGGCGAAAGGGUGAGUAACGCGUAGUUAUCUGCCCCAGGGUCUGGGAUAGCCUCGGGAAACUGAGAGUAAUACCGGAUAAUCUCUUUGGAGUAAAGGGACUGCCGCCCUGGGAGGAGACUGCGUCCUAUUAGCUUGUUGGUGGGGUAAUGGCCUACCAAGGCAAUGAUGGGUAGCGGGCGUGAGAGCGUGGCCCGUCACACUGGGACUGAGACACUGCCCAGACACCUACGGGUGGCUGCAGUCGAGAAUCUUCGGCAAUGGACGAAAGUCUGACCGAGCGACGCCGCGUGCGGGAUGAAGGCCUUCGGGUUGUAAACCGCUGUCAGUGGGGGAGGAAAUGCAUGGGGGUUCUCCCCUGUGUUUGACCUAUCCUCAGAGGAAGUACGGGCUAAGUUCGUGCCAGCAGCCGCGGUAAUACGAACCGUACGAACGUUAUUCGGAAUCACUGGGCUUAAAGAGUGCGUAGGCGGCUUGGAAAGUUGGGUGUGAAAUCCCUCGGCUCAACCGAGGAAUUGCGCCCAAAACUUCCAGGCUUGAGGGAGGUAGAGGUAAGCGGAACUAAUGGUGGAGCGGUGAAAUGCGUUGAUAUCAUUAGGAACACCUGAGGCGAAAGCAGCUUACUGGGUCUCUUCUGACGCUGAGGCACGAAAGCUAGGGGAGCGAACGGGAUUAGAUACCCCGGUAGUCCUAGCUGUAAACGAUGAGCACUGGAUUGAGGGGACUUCCACAUCCUCUCGGUCGUAGCGAAAGUGUUAAGUGCUCCGCCUGGGGAGUAUGGUCGCAAGGCAA
rnacentral:rRNA from 1 species